rnacentral:tRNA from 1 species
AGCGUGUUAUCUUAAUUGGUUAAGAAUUGUGUUUCGGCCACAAAGAUUGUAAGUUCAAGUCUUACACACGUUA